GGGUGUUCAUCUAUACAACUCCUGGAGAAGUCAGAGUGCAGAGUUGUUAGACGGUUAGAGAGAAAAUAGUUAGAGAAGUAGAGUUGCCCCUAGCUAGCGCCUCUGCUCCCUCCCAUCCUGGCAGGCUAGAGCAUAUCCAUAUGACUAGCCACCAAUGCAAGCAGACUGCACUAUGACCCAGAGAGGCAUGUCUGACCUCGGACAGCGGUCAGAGAGCGUCUUCCGAUUAGCUGGUUUCUCUGCCAGUCGGGUACAUCAGGAUUCUUAUAAGGCCACCGAGCAGGUCCCUGAAGCCACAAGAAUAAGUGAGAUCGUCUCCCCCACUCCCAGGAAAGGCUUCAGAAUAAGCAGGAAAAGACGGAAAGAUCUAACGAUACAAAAAGAUGGAGGAAUUUGGAUCCACCAUCACCCACAUUCUAAUUCUGGAUUCACCAUUUACUAGCUCUAUGAACUUCAGUAAGUUACAACAUCCCCAGGCCUCAGUUUUACCAUCUUGGAGGGGGUCAUAAAAUACGACCUAUCUUUCCGAUUUAAGUUGAGAAUUUAGUGAGGCAUCAUCAAGAUGUCUGUAAGCUUUAACUUACAGAUUGACACAGCUGUCCGUCGUGGAGAAGAAUCAGUUAUUAAACAUUUACUGCUUUUCUGAACGCAGUUUGUCAGCACACAAGUGAAAAGAAGGAAAGGAUGAUGAAGCGCGGGGCAGGAAAGAACAAGAAAGUCAACAGUGUAAGAAGAACUAGCACCUCUUUUAUUCUAAUGAGAUAUUACUAUGACUUUUGGCCGAUUAAACUGUGAACAUUUGUUUUUAAGUGAGUUUUUCCACAUUAGUCUACUGGACUGAGAGCCACUGAAGCAGAGCUUUUCAAAUCUGAAAGUCUAUCAGAAUUACCUGGGGGAGCUUGUUAACAUGCACAGUCCUGCCCCUUCUUCCCCAGAUCCUGACUCAGUAGGUCUAGGGUGAGGCCCAUGAUUUUGCAUUUCUAACAAGUGCCCAGGUAAUACUUUGUUACUGGUCUUCAUACCACACCUCAGCGCUGCACUAAACGGCAGGAUCUAUGCCUCAAGCAGUUACACCUUUAAUAAGCGCCCAGUAUGUUCAACACCCUACAGUAGCUACUUAGAGAAGAAGGAACAUAAUCUGUUUUCAACAAGCUCAUUGUCUUGCAGGAGCAAAAAAGAUACCUACAGAACUUUUUUCAUCUCUUAUCAACUUGAAAUUUAUUAUGGAGAAAAUUCUCAUCAUAAUGCAAAGAUGAUAAUAAUAGUACCCACUUCAUAGCAUGAUUGAGAAGAUUAAAUAAGAUCAUAUAGGGAAGCCAUGGAAUAUAAAGAAUUUAUUUUGAACAAUGCCUGGCACAUAGUAGAUGUUGAAAUCUUGGCCCUUGAGGUGGGGUAUGGGAAAGGGUAAGCGAGAGCUCACAGUCAUUGGUGGGAUUCUCAAGAAUCAGUCAAGCAAUAGGACCAGGAGUCACUCACAUGCGGCUGUGGUGGGCUCACUGAUACCCACAACAGGCAGUGGAUGAGGAAACCAAAGCACUGUUUCAGAUAGGAGUAUAAAGUUUCCCCAAACCAAGAGGUGGAAAGCACAUCUUGAAAAUUCAGAGACAAAACUUAGCAGACAAAAGGAAACAGAAAUGAUUGAAAGAAAGCAAAAUAUGUACUCUGGGCAACUCCCAGAAACCCCACUGACUGCAGCCUACUCUCAUGCAGCAACUGCAACAUGAAAUGGAGUCGGAUUGUCUGCUAUUAAAAGUUAGGCACUAGAUGAACUGAGUAAAUCCAUGAUCAAGAGUGGAAGCUGGUGGAAAUUAUGUUUAAUCACCAAAAGCAAUUCUGUUUUCCCUUUCAAAGCCUUUAUUUCUACAGAAGCAAUUCUCAGCCUUGACUGCACAUUGGAAUCACCUAGAGAGCCUGAAAAACUACUGAUGAUUAGAUCUCGCCUCCAGAGAUUCUGAUUUAAUUGGUCAGGGUGUAGCCAGGGCACAGGGAUGUUUAAAGUCUUCUCUAGUGAUUCUAAUGUCCAGCCAACAUUGAGAACCACUGUUAAAGUCUUCAUGACUCUUCCAGGCUCAGCUGCUAUGAAGAAAAAAAAAUUCAAAGACUCCACUAUGUAAGAAUUUCUAAAUAGGUGUCAAAAAUAAUUAAUGCUAUAAAAGGUCAAAAGAAAGUUUGUUAGGAAAGUUUCUUUGGGGAGAGUUAUUCUGUAACUCCUAUCCCCAGAAUGUAGGUGUAGGGAAUGCCUCCUUCUUCCCCUUAGUUAAGAGAGGGGGGCUUCAGGGGCUGGCCCCGUGGCUGAGCGGUUAGGUUCACACACUCUGCUGCAGGCAGCCCAGUGUUUCGUUGGUUCGAAUCCUGGGCGUGGACAUGGCACUGCUCAUCAAACCAUGCUGAGGCGGCGUCCCACAUGCCACAACUAGAAGGACCCACAACGAAGAAUAUACAACUAUGUACCGGGGGGCUUUGGGGAAAAAAAGGAAAAAAAUAAAGUCUUAAAAAAAAAAUAGAGGGGGGGGCUUCAGCAGGACUGCUUAGAGAGUUUUAUAUCAUCUGACAUAGCCAGGGAGACACAGUGGCUUGGUGUCUGACCAGUGGAAAAGUUUAAAGGCAGGAAGAAAUUUACUAACUGCUCCAAUGUUAAGAGGCAAGGAGAGGUAAACUGCUUUGGGAUGGGCCUGCACUUCCGGUUUGUCAGGACAAAGGAUCCCUAAGCAGAUUGCUCAGAAGAUGCAAAUUUGCAUGCCCUAGAAGCUCAUUCUCUCCACUCUUUCAGCAGCUUAGCAAAGAGCUGGCCUACCAGGUCUGCGUUCACUCAAAAGGAAACAGGCUAAUAAAAACAGCUGAUCUUGGAAGGUUUCAUCCUUCUAUUUUAUCUUUUUACUUAUAUCUUUCAUCUUUUUGUUUCCUAAAAGUAAGAGAAAUUUCAUGAGAAUGCCUACAUUUUCAAGUAGAAGCAAGGAAAGCACCUGCCCUCUGAAUACAUUUAAAGAGAGAGUGGAUGUCAAGAAAGAAAGAGAGUGAUGUCAGCAAAAUGGCAUACUAGGAGGUCCCAGCCCUUGUCCCCCUGCCAAAAAAAAAAAAAAAAAAAAAAAA
rnacentral:lncRNA from 1 species